rnacentral:tRNA from 1 species
GAUAAAGCUUAGGAGUUAGGCACUUCAUUUACACUGAAGAGAUUUUCGUGCAAUUCGAAUUAUUUUGAAGG